rnacentral:rRNA from 1 species
UACGUAGGGGGCUAGCGUUGUCCGGAUUUAUUGGGCGUAAAGAGCGUGUAGGCGGCCCGGUAAGUCCGCUGUGAAAGUCGGGGGCUCAACCCUCGAAUGCCGGUGGAUACUGUCGGGCUAGAGUGCGGAAGAGGCGAGUGGAAUUCCAGGUGUAGCGGUGAAAUGCGUAGAUAUCUGGAGGAACACCGGUGGCGAAGGCGGGUCUCUGGGCAACAACUGACGCUGAGGAGCGAAAGCGUGGGGAGCGAACAGG